AGAGUUUGAUCAUGGCUCAGAUUGAACGCUGGCGGCAGGCUUAACACAUGCAAGUCGAGCGGUAGCAGGCCUUCGGGUGCUGACGAGCGGCGGACGGGUGAGGAAUGCAUAGGAAUCUGCCUAUUAGUGGGGGAUAACACGGGGAAACUCGUGCUAAUACCGCAUACGUCCUACGGGAGAAAGCGGGGGAUCUUCGGACCUCGCGCUAAUAGAUGAGCCUAUGCCGGAUUAGCUAGUUGGUAGGGUAAAGGCCUACCAAGGCGACGAACCGUAGCUGGUCUGAGAGGAUGAUCAGCCACACUGGGACUGAGACACGGCCCAGACUCCUACGGGAGGCAGCAGUGGGGAAUAUUGGACAAUGGGCGCAAGCCUGAUCCAGCCAUGCCGCGUGUGUGAAGAAGGCCUUCGGGUUGUAAAGCCCUUUAAGUGGGGAGGAAGGUUAGUGGUUUAAUACGCUACUAAAUUGACGUUACCCACAGAAUAAGCACCGGCUAACUCUGUGCCAGCAGCCGCGGUAAUACAGAGGGUGCAAGCGUUAAUCGGAAUUACUGGGCGUAAAGCGCGCGUAGGUGGUUUUGUAAGUUGAAUGUGAAAUCCCCGGGCUUAACCUGGGAAUGGCAUCCAAAACUGCACGACUAGAGUAUGGGAGAGGGAGGUAGAAUUCCAGGUGUAGCGGUGAAAUGCGUAGAGAUCUGGAGGAAUACCGGUGGCGAAGGCGGCCUCCUGGCCUAAUACUGACACUGAGGUGCGAAAGCGUGGGUAGCAAACAGGAUUAGAUACCCUGGUAGUCCACGCCGUAAACGAUGAGAACUAGCCGUUGGUCUCCUUGAGAGGUUAGUGGCGCAGCUAACGCGAUAAGUUCUCCGCCUGGGGAGUACGGCCGCAAGGUUAAAACUCAAAUGAAUUGACGGGGGCCCGCACAAGCGGUGGAGCAUGUGGUUUAAUUCGACGCAACGCGAAGAACCUUACCUGGUCUUGACAUCCACGGAAUCCUGCAGAGAUGUGGGGGUGCCUUCGGGAACCGUGAGACAGGUGCUGCAUGGCUGUCGUCAGCUCGUGUUGUGAAAUGUUGGGUUAAGUCCCGUAACGAGCGCAACCCUUGUCCUUAGUUGCCAGCGAGUAAUGUCGGGAACUCUAAGGAGACUGCCGGUGACAAACCGGAGGAAGGUGGGGACGACGUCAAGUCAUCAUGCCCCUUACGACCAGGGCUACACACGUGCUACAAUGGCCGGUACAGAGGGUUGCCAAGCCGCGAGGUGGAGCCAAUCCCGAAAAGCCGGUCGUAGUCCGGAUUGCAGUCUGCAACUCGACUGCAUGAAGUCGGAAUCGCUAGUAAUCGCAGAUCAGAAUGCUGCGGUGAAUACGUUCCCGGGCCUUGUACACACCGCCCGUCACACCAUGGGAGUGGGUUGCACCAGAAGUAGUUAGCUUAACCGCAAGGGGAGCGAUUACCACGGUGUGAUUCAUGACUGGGGUGAAGUCGUAACAAGGUA
rnacentral:rRNA from 1 species